rnacentral:rRNA from 1 species
AGAGUUUGAUCCUGGCUCAGGAUGAACGCUAGCGGCAGGCCUAAUACAUGCAAGCCGAACGGUAAUUCUGGUAGCAAUACCGGGACAAGAGUGGCGUAAGGGUGCGUAACACGUAUGCAAUCUACCCGCAACAGGAGGAUAGCUCCCCGAAAGGGGAAUUAACCCUCCAUGAGAUCACGGGGUGGCAUCACCGGGUGAUUAAAUCUGAGGAGGUUGUGGAUGAGCAUGCGACUGAUUAGCUAGUUGGCAGUGUAACGGACUACCAAGGCAAUGAUCAGUAGGGGAACUGAGAGGUUGAUCCCCCACACUGGCACUGAGAUACGGGCCAGACUCCUACGGGAGGCAGCAGUAGGGAAUAUUGGUCAAUGGGUGAGAGCCUGAACCAGCCAUGCCGCGUGCAGGAAGAAGGCCUUCUGGGUUGUAAACUGCUUUUGCCGGGGGAUAAAAGAUCCUUGCGAGGAUAAUUGAAGGUACCUGGUGAAUAAGCCACGGCUAACUACGUGCCAGCAGCCGCGGUAAUACGUAGGUGGCAAGCGUUGUCCGGAUUUAUUGGGUUUAAAGGGUGCGUAGGCGGUUGAUUAAGUCAGUUGUGAAAUACGGCAGCUUAACUGUCGAGGUGCAAUUGAUACUGGUUGACUUGAGUACAGACGAGGUAGGCGGAAUUGACGGUGUAGCGGUGAAAUGCAUAGAUAUCGUCAAGAACACCGAUAGCGAAGGCAGCUUACUAGACUGUAACUGACGCUGAGGCACGAAAGUGUGGGGAUCAAACAGGAUUAGAUACCCUAGUAGUCC